rnacentral:rRNA from 1 species
AUUGAACGCUGGCGGCAGGCCUAACACAUGCAAGUCGAGCGGAUGAAGGGAGCUUGCUCCUGGAUUCAGCGGCGGGCGGGUGAGUAAUGCCUAGGAAUCUGCCUGGUAGUGGGGGAUAACGUCCGGAAACGGGCGCUAAUACCGCAUACGUCCUGAGGGAGAAAGUGGGGGAUCUUCGGACCUCACGCUAUCAGAUGAGCCUAAGUCGGAUUAGCUAGUUGGUGGGGUAAAGGCCUACCAAGGCGACGAUCCGUAACUGGUCUGAGAGGAUGAUCAGUCACACUGGAACUGAGACACGGUCCAGACUCCUACGGGAGGCAGCAGUGGGGAAUAUUGGACAAUGGGCGAAAGCCUGAUCCAGCCAUGCCGCGUGUGUGAAGAAGGUCUUCGGAUUGUAAAGCACUUUAAGUUGGGAGGAAGGGCAGUAAGUUAAUACCUUGCUGUUUUGACGUUACCAACAGAAUAAGCACCGGCUAACUUCGUG